GCCCGGCUACCUCAGUCGGUAGAGCAUGAUACUUUUAAUCUUAGGGUCGUGGGUUCGAGUCCCGCGUUGGGCG